CCCUGCAUGGUGCUGUUCCAGUAAUGCAAAGAAAAUUUUAGGAAUAAUUAGUGCUGACACUAUUUUGAUGGAGAUCCUGCUUUCAUACAUGAUGGCUAGCCAUUUAGAAAACAAAUGUGCCAUCUGCCCUGAGUGUUUGCACCGAUAGGCUGAGUUGACAGUUCCGGGAAAUUCACACUACUUCCUAUGGUUCUAUUCCCAGGUUGCACGGAUAGAAAACUUCCCAAAAAGCCACUAGUAUGCAGGGAUUCUUUGAAGAAGAGCAGAUGCCAUCUGAAGAGUGAGUGUGGGACUCCAACGAGGUGCGACUCCCCCACCAGGAACAGAUCUGUACUGCUAGAGUGCGAGCCCCGUGAAAGAGAAAGAAAGUGUUCAGGUGGCGUUCUAAAGAGACGCGAUUCCCAGACAGGAAUUCCAAGAAGACUGGAAUCUCAAGUAAGGUUUGCCACAGGACCCGAUAAUGAAAUUUCAUCUAAAGCCCAUUGUUGUGAGCCACCAGUUUGCAGAAAUCGGGAAUCCCUCAGGAAGAAUGAGGACGGCAUACUGAAGAAACAGGAUUCACAGAGGACAAGGCCUAAGAAAUGCCGACUAGAACCACAAGAAAGGUGUGUUGUUCUGCCUCCUUGCUAUCAGCCAGGGGCACCUCCGGCUCCACGUGGGCCAUAGGGGCUUCCACUGUGAUCUUCAGGAUCAAGCUGUGUCCCUGCCCUCACCCCGGUGGAACACAGUUACAAAAUCCAUUUCCUCUAUACAUCUUCGUUUUCUGCUAUUCAGAAGUUUGCCGUUAUUAGACUUCCCUGACACAAACUACAUCUUCCAAAUUUUUUCUGUAAGCCAAUACGUAUAUCUACUCCAACGAAGAAAGACAGUGUUCUCAGAAAUAAAAUGUCUUUACUAAAUACCUAAUUAGUUCUUUUGACAGUGUUCUAUCUCUAGCUCACCCAGUUGACCUUAUGACCUUGAUGGCUGCAAAUGCUUUAUGAUCCACCAAAAAAAAAAAAAAAUACAUAGGAAAUAAAGUCAGACCUCCCGCAACCAAGCAGUUUAUGACAGAAAUGGUGGCCAUGUAAGCACAAUCAUUUUUUUAAGAGUCAAUUUUAAAAUGUGUCCAAAAGUAGUUUAAGUGGUCUGGAAAGAGUUUAGAGAUAAGAGAGUCAGAAAUCAGUCGGUAGAGCUUGGGACUCUUAAUCCCAGGGUCGUGGGUUCGAGCCCCACGUUGGGCGCCAAAAUGUUAUCUUUUGUUUAAAAAGAAUAGAAAUGCUGAGGCAUGACACAUAUUGACUAUAAGUUUAUUAUAGGCCCGGCAGAGUAUGGAGACUAAGAGAAGAAGAACAGGAUAAUGGCUGACCACCAUGGCCGGUUGCCAUAGAGAGACAGAGAGAGAGCAUAGGUGGGAGACAGAGUAGAGAGAAAGCAGAGACAAAGCAGAGCGGGGGAACAGAGAGAGGAAACAGAGAGCGUAAAUGGGCAGGGACCUGUCUUUUAAAGGGGUCCUCUGCACCUGCGCGCAGACUUAGUUCCCAUGGAACCUUGGGCUGACCAGGGUACUGCCUGUUCCACCAGGUAAUAGGGGCAGGCCAGCAUAAUGCCUGAACCUUUCAGGCAUAGCCCUGUGAGUCUGAGGUCAGCCUGGUCUACACAGCAGUUCCAGGCCAGCCAGAUAUACAUGGUGAAAUUCUACCUCACUACUACUAAUAAUAAUAAAUUAAAAUAAAAAUUUGAAAGUUCUUAUCUCCAGCAAGAGACAUAACCCAACAGGGGGCUGUGAGGGGUCCUCUCCGUUUCUCAUGUCCUCUUGAUUGCUGUCCUCCUGUCCUGCCUCAGAAAGAGAGGAAGCAGUUGGCUGGUGGCUCAUGUGCAACGCUGCCUUCAGCCAAACCUGAGGCCAGGACCCUCCCAAGUCCUGUGACCUCCAUACAUCGUACACGCACACAGACACACUCACACACAUGUGCACACACACGUGCACACACACGUGCACACAGAGACGCGUGCGCAAGCGCGCACACCACACACGUGCACACACGCACAGACACCACACACACACACCACACACGUGCACACACGCGCACAGACACCACACACGUGCACAUGCACUUGCGCGCACACACGCACGCGCAUCCACACGCCACAAGCACGUACACAUACACACGUAUUGACACUCACCACACACGCACAACACACACACACACACACACACACACACACACUCCCCGCCAUUGCCUUCUGCUCAUUUCCCAUUCACGCCCACCCGCGCCCCCUCCGCACCGCCCC
ensembl:lncRNA